rnacentral:lncRNA from 1 species
CGGAACACCACCCACAGGCACAUUCUGUCAGAGUUCUCUCCAUCAUGUGUCUAGAAUCUUCCAGACACCUUCAACUGUCACCUGCAUUAUGGCAUAAGCCUUCUUCCUGGCCUCCAAGCAUCCACUCUAAUGGCUUCUAAACUAUUCUCCUAGAACCGAAGAGCUUGAGGCAAAUCUCAGAGCUGUCUGGUCCCUUGACAGACCCCACAUCCUGCACAGGCUUUGAAGGAAAAAGCUUCCAUGAAUCUUACGGCUACAGAAAAGUGAGUUCUGUGAACAACCCGAGGACCUUGAAAGUGGAUCCUUCCCCAGUCAAGCCUCUGAUGAGCCCAGCCAACAUCUUGACCGUAGCAUUGGGAAACACUAAACAGAGGCUCCAACGAAGCUAUGCCCAGACUCCUGACCCACAGAAACUGUAAGAUAAUAAACAUAUGAUGUUU